UACAGAGGUCCCAAGCGUUGUUCGGAUUUACUGGGCGUAAAGGGUGUGUAGGUGGCGCCGUAAGUCGGGUGUGAAAUUUCGGAGCUUAACUCCGAAACUGCAUUCGAUACUGCGGUGCUUGAGGACUGGAGAGGAGACUGGAAUUUACGGUGUAGCAGUGAAAUGCGUAGAUAUCGUAAGGAAGACCAGUGGCGAAGGCGGGUCUCUGGACAGUUCCUGACACUGAGACACGAAGGCCAGGGGAGCAAACGGG
rnacentral:rRNA from 1 species